rnacentral:rRNA from 1 species
UACAGAGGAUGCAAGCGUUAUCCGGAAUGAUUGGGCGUAAAGCGUCUGUAGGUGGCUUUUUAAGUCCGCCGUCAAAUCCCAGGGCUCAACUCUGGACAGGCGGUGGAAACUACCAAGCUGGAGUACGGUAGGGGCAGAGGGAAUUUCCGGUGGAGCGGUGAAAUGCGUAGAUAUCGGAAGGAACACCGGUGGCGAAAGCGGCGCGCUGGAUCCCUACUGACGCUGAGGCACGAAAGCGUGGGGAUCAAACAGG